UUAAGUCCCGCAACGAGCGCAACCCUUGUCUUUAAUUGCCAUCAUUUAGUUGGGCACUUUAAAGAGACUGCCGGUGUAAGCCGGAGAAGGUGGGGAUGACGUCAAGUCCUCAUGGCCUUUAUGCCCAGGGCUACACACGUGCUACAAUGGGCGGUACAAAGAGAAGCAACCUCGCGAGGGUGAGCAAAUCUCAAAAAGCCGUUCUCAGUUCGGAUUGAAGUCUGCAACUCGACUUCAUGAAGUCGGAAUCGCUAGUAAUCGCGGAUCAGCAUGCCGCGGUGAAUACGUUCCCGGGCCUU
rnacentral:rRNA from 1 species